CUACUGGGGUAUCUAAUCCUGUUUGCUCCCCACGCUUUCGUGCCUCAGUGUCAGUGUUGGUCCAGGUAGCUGCCUUCGCCAUGGAUGUUCCUCCCGAUCUCUACGCAUUUCACUGCUACACCGGGAAUUCCACUACCCUCUACCACACUCUAGUCGCCCAGUAUCCACUGCAAUUCCCAGGUUGAGCCCAGGGCUUUCACAACAGACUUAAACAACCACCUACGCACGCUUUACGCCCAGUAAUUCCGAGUAACGCUUGCACCCUUCGUAUUACCGCGGCUGCUGGCAC
rnacentral:rRNA from 1 species